GCCAGGUGCAGUGGCACGUGCCUGAGUCCCAGCUACUUGGGAGACUGGGUGGGAGGAUCACUUGAGCCCAGGAGUUCUGGGCUGUAGUGCGCUAUGCCGAUCAGGUGUCCACACCAAGUUCGGCAUCAGUAUGGUGACCUCCCCGGAGCGGGGAACCACCAGGUUGCCUAAGGAGGGGUGAAUCAGCCCAGGUCAGAAAUGGAGCAGGUCAAAACUCUGGCGUUGAUCAGUAGUGGGAUCACACCUGUGAAUAGCCACUGCACUCCAGCCUGGGCAACAUAGCAAGACCCUGUCUCA
rnacentral:SRP_RNA from 1 species